GGUAAUCAGAAGACUGUCAUGAUCUACUGGCUGUAAAAUUUGAGAGUACUUAUAAUUUCAUUUGUAUUACAGAAAGACAUAUUUGAGAAGCUGCUGGACAGAGAAAUAGAAAGAGAUCAAACAUUCCCUGAAGUGUGGUAGAAGGCAGGAAGAAUGACACUUGCUAAUUUGAAUUUCAGAAAACGCCUAAACUUCAUUCUGAUCUCCAGAGAUUAUCGAAAACAAUUCAUUGUCUGCUUCCACAAAACAUCUCUCUGAAAAUCUGAGAACAGCUAUUGAACCUUCUCCUAGUCUUUCCCCUCCUGGAUUAAGCUUUGCAAGCUCAGUUCUUGCAAAGUCUUAUGCUAGAAAAGUUUUUUUAAGUUCAUUCUUAUUUCAGGUUCUGGGACUUUCUCCAGCUGGUUCAUGUAUUGUAUUGACAUGUGAUAACCUGCAGUGGUCACAGGGAUCCAGGUAAAGAAUUACGAGCUCUGAAAGGAAUAUUUUGUGUGUUUAACAUAAAAUGUACUCCUUUUAUAUAACACAGCAUGAUUGCUUCUUAGGCAAUUGUACAAUUUUAUUGCUUGUUUGUGAUCCAUUCUAAUUGCCAGAUUCUUUUUCGCACUGUGUUUGGUUAGUCAUUCUCCUUUUUAUAUUUGUGCAGGUAAUUUUACUUGUAUAGGCACAUGUGAAUUCACUUAAUUGCUUAGCUGCAUCCAGAUUUCUGCUGUGCACCAAGGUAAUUUAAAAUGUACAUUCUGCACUCUGAUGGAUUUGAAGUCCAUUUAGCUUAGUGUAAUUUUAAAAUGCAAAAAGCAUCUUAAUCAUCUACUGGUUCAAUAAUGAACAUGUCAUGCAGAUUCUUGCAGAAUCUGACCUGAUGCAUCUUGCUCAUUUAAAGAUGAAUCACUAAUAACUAUUGGUAACUAAUUCUGUGAAUGGGAUUUCCCAAAUAACUACCUACCUCAAAUCUGCUUGUCUAUGCAAAUGUCCUGUGAGAUGUCAAAAGCCAAAAUCCAGAUGCAUGACAGUGUUUUUUCUCUUCUGUCCAUUAAUCUUGUUAUCUACUGUAGAGAGAAAUAAAUUUGCUCUUACAUGAUUUAUUUAUUAUAAA
rnacentral:lncRNA from 1 species